UAGAUGUGUUCCGAAAGAGUAUGUAACUU
rnacentral:sRNA from 1 species